CCUUUUGUCGUGUAAUACUAUUGCAUUGAAUUAUUUGAGAAAUACCAAUAUUAUUUGUGGCUUUGAUUUGAAAGAGUUUAUAUGAGCUUUUAUUCCAUUUAUGUCUUUCCUCGUUAUUGUUAUAACUAAAUUGCCUCGGAGGAAUUUUGCAAUUAUAUGCUAAGUGUUUCCAAGAGUUGAUCCUAAAAUAUCAAAACAACCCUGCAACUCUAGUCAAUUAUGCUACCCUUCUUUUGUGUCAAUAUGCUUCAGUUGUAGCAGGUACUAUGAUUAUAUGAUCUAUGCGCUCAGUUGUAGCAGGUGCCUGUGCAAAUGCUUCUGAUGGUGCUUCGAAAGAGCAAUCCAUGGCUGCUAAUGUCGCUAAGAAAUGUUUGUUAGCUGCAAUUAAAAUAGAUGUUGAAUCAGCCCAUAUUUGGGCAAAUCUUGCCUAUGUACUUUCUAUUAGUGGGGAUCGUUGAAGUUCCAGCAAGUGCUUGGAGAAGGUGCUCACGGCCCUUGCUACAGUCAUUUUUAACGUAUUUGCUGAGGUUGUUCUUGUUCUCGAGAGAAAUGUUUUGAUGGUUGAUUAUCUUGAAUGAAUUCUCACAGUGAAUAUUUUUUUUUGGCAUUUUUUCCAUGAUUAGAGAUAGCUGGAAUGACUCACAUUGAUUUUUCAUGUAUUGCGUUUUGGCUAGUGAGAUUGUUGUUGUUGGUGUUAGGUUGGUUGUUGCAAGACAAUUGGUGUUUUGGGGGUUGGAGAGUUUCGUUAAAGUUUUCCCUUAUAAAAUGAUGAAUGUUGUUUUUC